GUAGGUGAACCUGCGGAAGGAUCAUUAUUAUUAGAAAAGAUGCGGGAUGAAAUGCCCGUACUUCUAAACCCUUAUGUUAACACACCUUUGUUGCUUUGGCAGGCCGCGGCCUCCGCUGCGGGCUCACGCUCGCACGUGCCUGCCAGAGGACCCAACUCUUGAUUUUAGUGAUGUCUGAGUACUAUUAAAUAGUUAAAACUUUCAACAACGGAUCUCUUGGUUCUG
rnacentral:misc_RNA from 1 species